rnacentral:ncRNA from 2 species
ACCAUUCAGUUAAAUAGAACUCAUAUAAUCGCGGGAAUAUGGCCCGCAAGUUUCUACCGAUCUACCGUAAAUGGGUCGCCUAUGAGGAGUAUGAAAAGCAGA